ensembl:lncRNA
GGGAAGGGUCGGUGGUCUCCUCUGGAUUUGUACAAGCGACCAUUUUGUUGAGUUUUGUCUUUUUUCUUCUUUUUCAGGUCGUUGGAGAGCAUAACUAGCCAGGUUUUUCUCUUUACCUGCUCCUGGAAACCCUUUCUAACCGCAUAUUUUGUUCUUAAUUCUUUUCUGCUGACUUCAGUUAACUGCGACUUUCCCAUCGGUUGUUUUUUGUUUUUGUUUGUUCAUGUCUUUACUGUUCUAGUGGGGCUUGAUUUUCUUCUUUGUAGAGUACUGAAGUUACUUAGCAAAUGAGCGUACGCUGGUUUUCUUGGUUGUGGGGAUUACUCGUGAUCGCACGCUAACAGGUUUCCACCUUAGUCCAUUGCUUGUGAUCAGGCAAGUUCACUUGUGAUGUGGCAAUUGGUAACCAUCUUGCGUAGUGACCUGGGUGUAGUCAAAUCUACUGUCUUUGGUGGUAGGUGUACAAAUUACCACCAGUGGUCCGCUGUGCCUAUGGGGUGACAUUUUAGUCUGCCCUGGGAACUAGUUUGUAAAGCCUCCUGUGAAACUGGCUCUUAGGGCUUUGGGGUUGAAAUGCUGAGGCCUGAUAUAGGUCAACGUUGAUUCAGGGACUAUGGUUGUAGAUCACAAUCUUGCAGUAUAUCCUAUGUUUCUAGUAUUAAUGGUACCUAUGAGAUGUAGUUAACUGAUAUUUUGCUAUAUGAGGAGGAAUACAUUUAUUUAAGUGAUUACCUGCUGAGCUAUGUUAUAAUGUUGAUUGUGCUACAGUAAUGGUAGUACAAUAUCUUUCUUUAUCAUGAUAGAAUUUUUACUAUAAUGUGUUUUACCAGUCUAAGCGUGCUGCAAGGGACCAAAGAGGCCAGUAGUGGACCAAAACAGAUAGCACUUCUCCCUUGGUUCCUCCUUGAACCCUGGCCAGGUUUUGGGAGAAAACCAACAGGAGACAGAGGAAACCAGAUGUUCCGCCUGACUGUUUCAUAGAUUGGUUUGUUUAGUGACACAAAAGCUGGACCUGCUUGCAGCGACUAUGGAGACCUCGACUACGGGGUGGACGCACUGCCGUAGGCCUUCCCAGUUGCCGGGACGGGUUCUCCAGAUCCUCGCUGCAACCAGGGCUCCCCAGCAGCUGCGGAUCUGGAUGGUGGUCAAAGUAGUAGAGUAGUGAUUGAUAAGUAGACUCAAAGUUAAAGAAUUGUUCAGGUUGGACAAGACCUUCAAGAUCAAGUCCAACCACAACUGAACCAUGCAACCCUAACUCUAGCAACCCACUGCUCGAUGAUGUCCUUGAGCACCAUGUCUAGAUUGUUUUUAAACACAUCCCUGUACCUUUCUUAAUCAGUAUUACUAACUUACAUAGAGUGAUUAAAUGCUUUGCUUAUUUUCUCUAUCAUUAAGCUUACCUUUUGGCUAUAGGCACUGCUCUAUAUUUGCAUCGUUUUGAAAUGCAGGGUAAAAUAUGCUUAUUUCUUCAGUUGGUGUCUGUAUACUUCCUGUUAACCCUGUCAGUUGGCAAAGCUUCUGGUGUCAUAUAGCAGAUUUGAACAAAAUGUCACUGUUUAAAUUUAAGCAGAAUGUCUUCGCUCCAUCUGAGCUUCCUAGAUGUGAGCGGGUUCCAUUUAGUUCACUGGUUCUUGAGCGGACAAAGGUUGGAGAGUUGUUUAAACAGUGUGCAAGUGAGUUGAAAGAAGCCAAACUGCUGAACAUAAUUCAACUGUGUCCAAAAAAAAAAAAAACCACAGAUGAUUGAUAAUGGAGAAGUAACCGGGGGCUUGGGAAGGCAAAGAUGGAUCUUGUUAGCAGCCUGUUGGAACCAGAACCAACGAAAAGAGCAAUUGUUGCCAAGUUUUUCUCACAUAGAGAAUGGAGGUGAGAGGGGUGCUGUUGGCUUUGUGCAAUAUGAGAAGAGAACAAAUGAAUCUUAAGGAAGUGCGUUUAGCAAUUGCAGAAGCAGGUGAUGGAAGAGAGCUUUCUGCUCUUUGUCGAAGCCAGACGUCAGUGCCUGCCGCUAAGGACUCAGACUUGUUCUUUCUUCUCCCAUUUUUGAUUUGUUAGGUUUUCUGUUGCUAAUUAUUCUGUAUUAUCUUUAAUAAAUUAUCUCUUCU